rnacentral:rRNA from 1 species
UAAUCUGCCCAAUGAUAUUUUAUUUAAUGGCUGCAGUAUUUAUAACUGUACAAAGGUAGCAUAACAAUUAGUUUUUUAAUUGAAAACUAGAAUGAAAGAUUAAAUGAAAUAUAUACUAUAUAAAUAAAAUUAAAAAUUAAAAUUAAAAUUUAAGUAAAAAUUCUUAAAUUAUUUUAAAAGACGAGAAGACCCUAUAGAAUUUUAUUUUUUGUUAUUUUAAAAUUUAGUAAUAAAUUUAAAUAUAUAAUAAAAAAUUUAAUUGGGGUAAUUUUAAAAUUAAAUUAAUUUUUAUUUAAAAAACAUAAAUUAAUGAAUUUUUAAUCUUAAAAUUUAGAUUAAAAAAAUAAAUUACCUUAGGGAUAACAGCGUAAUUUUUUUUGAUAGUUCAUAUUAAUAAAAAAGAUUUCGACCUCGAUGUUGAAUUAAGAUUAAUUUAAAAGUAAAAAUUUAAAAAUUUAA